AACAGGAUUAGAUACCCUGGUAGUCCACGCCGUAAACGAUGUCGACUUGGAGGUUGUGCCCUUGAGGCGUGGCUUCCGGAGCUAACGCGUUAAGUCGACCGCCUGGGGAGUACGGCCGCAAGGUUAAAACUCAAAUGAAUUGACGGGGGCCCGCACAAGCGGUGGAGCAUGUGGUUUAAUUCGAUGCAACGCGAAGAACCUUACCUGGUCUUGACAUCCACAGAACUUUCCAGAGAUGGAUUGGUGCCUUCGGGAACUGUGAGACAGGUGCUGCAUGGCUGUCGUCAGCUCGUGUUGUGAAAUGUUGGGUUAAGUCCCGCAACGAGCGCAACCCUUAUCCUUUGUUGCCAGCGGUCCGGCCGGGAACUCAAAGGAGACUGCCAGUGAUAAACUGGAGGAAGGUGGGGAUGACGUCAAGUCAUCAUGGCCCUUACGACCAGGGCUACACACGUGCUACAAUGGCGCAUACAAAGAGAAGCGACCUCGCGAGAGCAAGCGGACCUCAUAAAGUGCGUCGUAGUCCGGAUUGGAGUCUGCAACUCGACUCCAUGAAGUCGGAAUCGCUAGUAAUCGUGGAUCAGAAUGCCACGGUGAAUACGUUCCCGGGCCUUGUACACACCGCCCGCCACACCAUGGGAGUGGGUUGCAAAAGAAGUAGGUAGCUUAACCUUCGGGAGGGCGCUUACCACUUUGUGAUUCAUGACUGGGGUGAAGUCGUAACAAGGUAACC
rnacentral:rRNA from 1 species